rnacentral:rRNA from 1 species
GACGAACGCUGGCGGCGUGCUUAACACAUGCAAGUCGAACGAAGAGCGAUGGAAGCUUGCUUCUAUCAAUCUUAGUGGCGAACGGGUGAGUAACGCGUAAUCAACCUGCCCUUCAGAGGGGGACAACAGUUGGAAACGACUGCUAAUACCGCAUACGAUCUAAUCUCGGCAUCGAGGAUAGAUGAAAGGUGGCCUCUACAUGUAAGCUAUCACUGAAGGAGGGGAUUGCGUCUGAUUAGCUAGUUGGAGGGGUAACGGCCCACCAAGGCGAUGAUCAGUAGCCGGUCUGGGAGGAUGAACGGCCACAUUGGGACUGAGACACGGCCCAGACUCCUACGGGAGGCAGCAGUGGGGAAUCUUCCGCAAUGGACGAAAGUCUGACGGAGCAACGCCGCGUGAGCGAUGACGGCCUUCGGGUUGUAAAGCUCUGUUAAUCGGGACGAAAGGCCUUCUUGCGAAUAGUGAGAAGGAUUGACGGUACCGGAAUAGAAAGCCACGGCUAACUACGUG